rnacentral:rRNA from 1 species
AUGGGGCGAAGCACCGUUAAUCCUAUUUGGAGUAAGAUAUGGAAGUUAUCGUGUCCGGCACAAGUCAAAAAAUUUAUAUGGCGUACAUUACAUGGAACGCUUCCAUGUCGGGUUACGCUCGCAAAUAGACAUAUGAAGGUCACGCCCAUUUGCCCUACUUGCUCUGAGGGUUCUGAAGAUACAAAGCAUAUGCUUUUCCUUCGCAGUAGAGAAAAGGAGGUUUGGACAAGGCUGGGGAUGGAUGAUAUCAUUGAUAAAGCUUGCAAGGUUGACCUUGCUGGAGAGGCGGUGCUGGAAUACCUACUACUUCUGCCAGACCAAGAGUCGAGGAUAAUGGGUCAUCACAAUGUGCGUGAAAUGAUUGCUGUUUCAGCAUGGUAUCUAUGGUGGGAAAGAAGGAAGUUAGUGCACAAGGAGACAACUCAGAAUGCACUUCAGAUUUCAAUGGGGAUUCUAGCCCUUACGUCAAACUUCGUAAAUGCAUCAUCCCCCAAGGCUACUACGAAAAAGGGGGGUUGGUCAUGUCCUCCUAGGGGUUUUAUGAAACUUAACGUUGACGCUUCUUUUGACCAUGACCUACUUAAGGGCACGAUGGGGGCGGUUUUGAGAGAUGAAAAAGGUAGGUUUAUCGUGGGGGGAAACGGGAAGAUUGACUAUUGCGAUGAUGUGUCGAUGGCGGAAGCCUCAGCUCUUAAAUUUGGUAUAACAUUGGCGCAAAGGGCGGGAUGUAAUCGCCUUAUUAUUAACUCGGACAACCUGGAGGUGAUUGAUACCAUGAAGAAUGGAGGACAGUCGACGGGUGCGGCGGCGGCAAUUUUCGACGAUUGUUUUCAUUAUGCUUGUGACUUCGUUGCUACUAGAUUCGAACACUGCAACAGAGAAGCAAAUAAAGUAGCUCAUAAGCUUGCGAGUUUAGCUAGAUUUUCGUUGGUUUCUGAAUGGUUUGAGGAACCUGUAAAUGAAAUUGUAAUGACCCUCACAAACGAUGUACUUGCUAUCUCUCAUGAAUAA